rnacentral:rRNA from 1 species
CCUACGGGUGGCAGCAGUCGAGAAUCAUUCACAAUGGGGGAAACCCUGAUGGUGCGACGCCGCGUGGGGGAAUGAAGGUCUUCGGAUUGUAAACCCCUGUCAUGUGGGAGCAAAUUAAAAAGAUAGUACCACAAGAGGAAGAGACGGCUAACUCUGUGCCAGCAGCCGCGGUAAUACAGAGGUCUCAAGCGUUGUUCGGAAUCACUGGGCGUAAAGCGUGCGUAGGCUGUUUCGUAAGUCGUGUGUGAAAGGCGCGGACUCAACCCGCGGACGGCACAUGAUACUGCGAGACUAGAGUAAUGGAGGGGGAACCGGAAUUCUCGGUGGAGCAGUGAAAUGCGUAGAUAUCGAGAGGAACACUCGUGGCGAAGGCGGGUUCCUGGACAUUAACUGACGCUGAGGCACGAAGGCCAGGGGAGCGAAAGGGAUUAGAUACCCGUGUAGUC